UAUUGUAGAAUGAUUAAACUCAAAUGCAGUGUAUGUAUCAAUAGGUAUCAUACAGGUCAUUAUGAUAAGCUGGAAUCUGACAUCUUAAGGAAUUGCCAAAGAACUUAAAUAAAUAACAAAGCUUGUAUAAUGUCAGUAAGUUCUGUGCUAUUCUUUUGUUCCCACUUACAAGGCAAACAAGGAAGUAAAGAAGGCAGAGAUGGCCAAUUGAAUAAACACCCAAGUGAAAUCUUCUUCAUUAUUCACUCCUGUCAAUGCCAAAGCUGGUUCUGCAGCUACCAAUAUAUGAUGAAUUAUCGAAAACAAACCCUUAUAAAGGGGCAAAAUAAAUGAACAAAACAAACAGUGAGUUAAUGCCAAUUAAAGGGUCUUACAAUGGCUAAAAAUGUUCCAACUUGAAUAGCCAGUGAAGGUUUGAAGAAAUCAAAGUUUCGAUAGCCAUCAAAUGGUAUGGAAAUUACUUGUAAAAAUGAACAAGCUGAUAGAUGGAUAGUGAAAUUGAGAUUUUUUAUGACUAUAAAUAACACUUAACUAGCUCCUUUAUAUAGAGUUGCUGAGUCGGUUAGAGUUCCUGUUCCAAAUUGAAUUCACCAAAGACUAGGUUUGCCGAUUUUCUUAGAGCAACAAGGGUAACCAGAAAUAGCGAGACAAUAACAAGAAUACGACACAAUAGAGCAAAAUCAGAAAGAGAAUUCUAGAAUGAGCGAGGAGACAACAUAAAUUUUACAUAAUAGAGAAAAAUAAGAAGCAUACAAUGCAAUAGCUAAAAAAUACAGAUAACAUAGAUUAGUAGAAAUAGAAAUCGAAAACUCAAGAGAGAAGAGAAGAAAGUACUCACAGAGAUUAAACUUCAAUAGCCCUAAAUUAUUUUUAGGGUUUCCAACAAUUAGAAGCAGCAACCGAUGGAAGUUCCCUAUUUCCGUCUCUGAGAUCCACUGUUAGGAAGAAGAUUAAUUUUGGGAAAGAAUAAAGAUAAAUUUGGGGGGCGCGGGAGGAACGGGAAAUCGCGAAUCAAAAUAGAACUUAAAAUAGAACUUAGCCGGUACCUUUAUUUGCCCUUUCAAAAUGGGGGGAAUUAUUUCAUUAAUUAAGAGAUUGGGGGAAAUUUUUGGUGAAACUCUUUAGAGACACUUACAAA
rnacentral:lncRNA from 1 species